CCACAUUGCAGAAUUCAGAGAGGUGUGGAUUUCAAGGGAUAGCUACGUUUGGCUUCGCUUUGAAAAGUGUGACUUAGGUACGUUUGUCUUUCAGUGUGAAUGGAAGACGGCAUUCAGAAGGAGUGCAAAACCAAAGACCUGCAUUAGAAAUUACCGAAAGUGCCGUGCUAAAGUCAGUCGCGCUUCAGCGUUAUGCAGAAGUUGGUCUCCAUCUCCCCGUCUCUUUGCUUACUCGGUAGAACUGGAAUUUGCCCAGGAAGGUUGAUCCAGCCAGACCGCUGAUGUGCCUCAUUCCACUGUCUGCCCCCAAACUGAGACAGGGCACCUGGUCUGUCUCAGCCUAGCAACCAGUCUCAAAGCCAGCUUUCAAGUGCAUUUUCUAACUGCUCCAUCUCUGGCAUGGAUGACAGCAACGCUAUUGUUUAGCCCAGGUAAAAUGACCUCUGUUUGGUUUGCCAGCUCAAUGACUUUGAGAGAAUGCCUGGCUUUGAGAUAACUCCUUGGGGGAAAAGAUAUCCAGAGGGCUGUAUCAGUUCUUACGGUGGUAUUAAGGCAAAAGUGGGUCUCGUGGCAGGGCUUUUGGUUGGCUUCCUUUCGCAGUAGCCAACAUCUCACUGAGGAGACAGACUUGUGUCGGGGGGGGGGUGGUACCACUGUGAAUGAAAGCUGCUCCAUUCAAAAGUAAUAACAGCAAUCCCCACACAUGGAAAAGUAGCAUGGCAUGUACAAAAGUGGUCCAGAAGGACCACAGGAGAAGGACCAUUAUCUCCACGGUAGAAUACCUGCUUUGGAUGGAGGAGAUCCUUGGGAUCUCCAAGUGUUUCUGGGAAAGAUUAUUGCCUAAAACUGUGGACAGUCACUGCCAGUCAGUGCAUAUAAGAAUGACCUAGAUCAGUGUUCCCCAAACUUGGGUCUCCAGCUGUUGUUGGACUACAACUCCCAUUAUCCCUAGCUAGUAGGACCAGUGGUCAGGGAUGAUGGGAAUUGUAGUCCAAAAACAGCUGGAGACCCAGGUUUGGGAAACACUGGCCUAGAUGAGUCAUGUAGCACAAUGCUCUAAAUUUGGGAAGGGCUGUAGCUCAGUGGUACAACAUGUGGCUUUGAGUGCAGAAUGUCCCAAGUUCAAUCCCCAGUGUCUCCAGAGAAAGAGCUAGGGAAGAUCACUAUUUGAAAACCAUGGACAGUCACCACCAGCCAGUGUAGGGAGUGGCAAGCUAGAUCAUCCAAAAUGGGCUUCCUGUGUAGCCCUUAUCAAGCUUUCUGCAUGGAAUGUUUUGCUAUGGAAAGACAUUCACAUUGGGAUACCGAACAGGUUUACUCAGAAAUCAGCUCCUGAUUUCAGUGGUAGUUAUCUUUGUGUAAGUGUCUAGAGGACUGCACCCUCAGUCACAUGGAGGAGGGCUCUUCAUUGUCCCCUGUCUUCCAGAGGCCUGUUUGGACUCAGCUAGACAUCAGGAGUUAAAUUUUGCACUCUUCCUGCAGAGACUUGCAGGAGUCUCUUGAAGGCUUCUUUGUGCCAACAGACCUUUGCAGUGUGGUGUAGUGGUUAAGAGCGGUAGACUCAUAAUCUGGUGAACCGGGUUCGCGUCUCCACUCCUCCACAUGCAGCUGCUGGGUGACCUUGGGCUAGUCACACUUCUUUGAAGUAUCUCAGCCCCACUCACCUCACAGAGUGUUUGUUGAGGGGGAGGAAGGGAAAGGAGAAUGUUAGCCGCUUUGAGACUCCUUUGGGUAGUGAUAAAGGGGGAUAUCAAAUCCAAACUCUUCUUUGCAGUCAGUUGACUUCAUGAUUACCUGUACUUUCACAUUCAAUUUAUGUAUUUAUUUAUCUAAUAAGGAUUAUUAUUAUUAUUUAUUAAUUAAAUGUAUAUACCCCCCUAUACCUGCAGGUCUCGGGGCAGUUUACGGGAUAAAAUUACAAUAUAAAAUAUACCGUACCAUAUAAAAAUGAUGUUGUUGUUUUUUUAGUGGUGUACACUGCCUCGACAGCUUGCCAUAUGGCAGUACAGAAAUACUUCUAUAAAUAAAUAAUAUCAGAGUUCAAAGACACAUUCCUACGGGGGGGGGGGGAAGAUUCAAGGAAGGGAUGACGUAGGGCUGGGGAGAGAGAGCGUGGCCAAGGAAGCAGCAUGUCUGAGGGAGGUAUGUGGCCUGAGGAGAUUCCCAAGGACCAGAUAGAGAUGUAUGGGAGACCCCUUUGGCCCCUGCACUUAGUGCAUGGCACGCAAUGAGGAUUUUAUGCUUUGGUUGUGUAGCCCCUUGGCUGGCCUAGGCAUGUACCUUUCUUUCUGUGUUCCUCUGACCCAGCAGAAACUUGCAGGACAGGAAGUUAGAGAAGUCAACUGGGAUUCUCCUGACAGCCCGGGUAAGAAGCAGGGGUGGUUUUCUUUCUGGAGAACUUCUUGCCCAUGUCUCUCUCUUCUCUCCUGCUUGCUCUGCUGAAACAAUGAGGUGCAAAGAAAUCCUGACCAUGUGC
rnacentral:lncRNA from 1 species